rnacentral:rRNA from 1 species
GCAGUUAUCUGCCCACGGUAAACGCUGGGUAGCCAAGAGCGGAGCGGAUAACUGCUGAAAGCUCUAAGUAGUAAGCCCACCCCGAAGAUGUGAGUGCUCGUCCU